GCCUGCAUUCAGCCGUGCCCCGCUGGCGUCAGGGAUGCCGCUCUCCAGAUUGGGACGGUGGCCUGUCUGCCGGCGGGUUUGCGGUGCAUUUGCAGGUGGAGUGCGCCGAGGCGCUCGGUGCAGCGGCAUGAGCUUGGCUUUGAGGCCAGCCCCUCACGGGGUCUGGUACCCGGGCCAGGGGAGUGCUGUUUGUGCUGGGCGACAGCCAUGGGCAAUGGACUCGGGCUCGUGUGGGUGCCGAGCUGGAGGUCGGCGUCGGUCGCUUGCGACACGUGCCGGCACUCAGUUCGGUCCUGCUCGAGCUCACAUCUGCCCGUCCUCGGUGUAAAAGCCGGUCAUCUGUCCGACCCGUCUUGAAACACGGACCAAGGAGUUUAGCGUGUGCGCGAGUCAUUGGGCGUUGAAAACCCAAAGGCGUAAUGAAAGUGAAGGUCUCCCUUGCGGAGCUGACGUGUGAUCCUGGGCACCGCGGUGCGCCGGGCGCAACAUGGUCCCGUCCCGAUUGCUUGCAAUGGGGCGGAGACAGAGCGUACGCGCUGAGA
rnacentral:rRNA from 1 species